GCUUUGGUCAAAUGGUUAUGACUGGCACCUCUCACGACGAGGUGGUGGGUUCGAAUCCCACUGUGUGCG